UACGGUCGCAAGAUUAAAACUCAAAGGAAUUGACGGGGACCCGCACAAGCGGUGGAUGAUGUGGAUUAAUUCGAUGCAACGCGAAAAACCUUACCUACCCUUGACAUGGCAGGAAUCCCGGAGAGAUCUGGGAGUGCUCGAAAGAGAACCUGCACACAGGUGCUGCAUGGCUGUCGUCAGCUCGUGUCGUGAGAUGUUGGGUUAAGUCCCGCAACGAGCGCAACCCUUGUCAUUAGUUGCUACGCAAGAGCACUC
rnacentral:rRNA from 1 species